rnacentral:rRNA from 1 species
UACGUAGGGCGCAAGCGUUUGUCCGGAAUUAUUGGGCGUAAAGAGCUCGUAGGCGGUUUGUCGCGUCUGCUGUGAAAACCCGAGGCUCAACCUCGGGUCUGCAGUGGGUACGGGCAGACUAGAGUGCGGUAGGGGAGAUUGGAAUUCCUGGUGUAGCGGUGGAAUGCGCAGAUAUCAGGAGGAACACCAAUGGCGAAGGCAGAUCUCUGGGCCGUAACUGACGCUGAGGAGCGAAAGCUAGGGGAGCGAACGGG